rnacentral:lncRNA from 1 species
CUUGGAUGACAAAGGUAAAUGAUAAACAAAGUUAUUUCCUGCAAUAUAAGAGGCAUUAACAACUGUUGUAAAAUAUUGAUAAUUAGGGUUGUUUGAGCAAAUGGAAGCCGAAGGUCAUAUGUUUACAAGAAACCAAGAUGAAAAGUAUCACCAUAGAGGUUAUUAAAAGCUUGUGAGCUGUGAGCAACUUGAAAUGGUACGUUUUACCAGCAAAUGGCACCGCGGGGGGUAUGGUGAUUCUGUGGAAGGAGGACAGUGUUAGUAUAACGAGGUUGUGAUUAAAGAUUGCACUAUUUCUUGCAGAUUUAAAUGU